UUUUUUAAAGAAAAGCUCUAAUUUAACCAAAAAUAGAGAUGUCCGUGAGAACCAUUAACGAGCAAUCACUAAACCUUCAUACAAUGACCUCACACUUGAAGUAAGUAUGUUUUGAGCAAGUUUAUGCCUAAAAUGACACUAAGAGUACUCUAAAAGACAUAGGGAAUCAGAAACCAGGCUAAAAUUCAAUUGAACAUAUUUAGAAUGAGUAAACCCAAACUCAGAAAAAUGCUAUAAGAACAAAGAUGAAAUAGAGCUCGAUAAAAAUCCAGAGUCAACGCCAUUCGAGACUCGCAAAUAAACAUUUCUAUUAAAUUUCAAACUCAAAAAUUUAUUUCUGAUAUUCUGCACACCAGAACAAUAGCAAAGGAGAGAAAUAAACCUGUAAUGAACUUUCUUCACUCUGCAAAAAUUUGAUACGCACAGAACAGUAAAUUAAUUGAGGAACUGCAAAUCGUGACCUUUGAUCAAAUCUCAGCUCUCAAACUCAGUCCAAACCCAAAAUAAAGGUGAAAUUUCUGAAUUUAAAGAUGAAGAGAACAUAGAUGCUAAUAUCAGACUAAACGAAACAAUGUUUUAUUUUUAGUUUUGUAUUUUUCUGUUGUGAGUAAAAUUAAACAAAGAAAAGUGUCGAUGAAUAAAAGAGAAGAAAAGAAGCUUUUUCUAGAACCAUAAUUUUCUCAAAUAACCUCCGCCUUCAAAAAAAUCUUCCUUCGCCUCAAACCAGACCUGGUAUAUAUAUCCUUUCUCUCGAAAUUUCUCCUUUUCUCACCAGAAAUCCGAAAGUAAAUCUCUUCUAGAAUUAACCCUCACAAAUUGAGAGGAUUGAUACUCAAAUCCAUGACUCCCAUUUUCAGAAUUCAUUCUUCAGAAAUUCCAAAACGAAUCCAGCACAUGAGAGAUGAAUUUGACCUCACUCCCUGAAAUUGGCGAGUUGGUACACUGAUCUAAGAUGAAGAGGAUGAUUGAACAGUGCUCCUGUUUCUCUCACUUUGGAAUUUAAGGUUCUG
rnacentral:lncRNA from 1 species